GACAGAGGGUGCAAACGUUGUUCGGAAUUACUGGGCGUAAAGCGCGUGUAGGCGGCUCUGCAAGUCGGAUGUGAAAGCCCUGGGCUUCACCUGGGAAGUGCAUUCGAAACUGCUGAGCUUGAGUUCUGGAGAGGAUGGCGGAAUUCUCGGUGUAGAGGUGAAAUUCGUAGAUAUCGGGAGGAACACCGGCGGCGAAGGCGGCCAUCUGGACAGUGACUGACGCUGAGACGCGAAAGCGUGGGGAG
rnacentral:rRNA from 1 species